GUUUGAUCCUGGCUCAGGACGAACGCUGGCGGCGUGCUCAACACAUGCAAGUCGAACGGAGAACUUAUUUCGGUAAGUUCUUAGUGGCGAACGGGUGAGUAACGCGUGGGCAACCUGCCCUCCAGUUGGGGACAACAUUCCGAAAGGGAUGCUAAUACCGAAUGUGCUCCCUCCUCCGCAUGGAGGAGGGAGGAAAGAUGGCCUCUGCUUGCAAGCUAUCGCUGGAAGAUGGGCCCGCGUCUGAUUAGCUAGUUGGUGGGGUAACGGCUCACCAAGGCGAUGAUCAGUAGCCGGUCUGAGAGGAUGAACGGCCACAUUGGGACUGAGACACGGCCCAAACUCCUACGGGAGGCAGCAGUGGGGAAUCUUCCGCAAUGGACGAAAGUCUGACGGAGCAACGCCGCGUGAGUGAUGAAGGUCUUCGGAUUGUAAAACUCUGUUGUUAGGGACGAAAGCACCGUGUUCGAACAGGUCAUGGUGUUGACGGUACCUAACGAGGAAGCCACGGCUAACUACGUGCCAGCAGCCGCGGUAAUACGUAGGUGGCAAGCGUUGUCCGGAAUUAUUGGGCGUAAAGAGCAUGUAGGCGGGCUUUUAAGUCUGACGUGAAAAUGCGGGGCUUAACCCCGUAUGGCGUUGGAUACUGGAAGUCUGAGUGCAG
rnacentral:rRNA from 1 species